rnacentral:piRNA from 1 species
AUGGCCAAAAAUAGAAACUUGAAC